rnacentral:rRNA from 1 species
AUUGAACGCUGGCGGCAGGCCUAACACAUGCAAGUCGAGCGGAUGAAGGGAGCUUGCUCCUGGAUUCAGCGGCGGACGGGUGAGUAAUGCCUAGGAAUCUGCCUGGUAGUGGGGGAUAACGUCCGGAAACGGGCGCUAAUACCGCAUACGUCCUGAGGGAGAAAGUGGGGGAUCUUCGGACCUCACGCUAUCAGAUGAGCCUAGGUCGGAUUAGCUAGUUGGUGGGGUAAAGGCCUACCAAGGCGACGAUCCGUAACUGGUCUGAGAGGAUGAUCAGUCACACUGGAACUGAGACACGGUCCAGACUCUUACGGGAGGCAGCAGUGGGGAAUAUUGGACAAUGGGCGAAAGCCUGAUCCAGCCAUGCCGCGUGUGUGAAGAAGGUCUUCGGAUUGUAAAUCACUUUAAGUUGGGAGGAAGGGCAGUAAGUUAAUACCUUGCUGUUUUGACGUUACCAACAGGAUAAGCACCGGCUAACUUCGUG